rnacentral:antisense_RNA from 1 species
UUCUACGGCGGGCGGUGCGCGGGAGCCGCAAGGCUCGCCGGUCCUCAGGCCGGUCUUCCAACCGCGUACCGUCCGCCACCCCG